rnacentral:lncRNA from 1 species
UCAAUAAAUUAGACAAUUUAUAUGGUUCAGCAUUUAUAAUAUUUGAAUAUUUGAGAUUUCAGUUGGUUUUGUGAAUGUAAUAAAGGAAUUGUGAAUUUCAUGAAAUGAAAAUAGUUUUCUACCCCUCGUGGUAGCGUGUUUUAAAGAGAACAUGUUUCCGUGUGGGAAACAACUUUCAAAAGAGUUUUCUCGUGGUUUUUUUGACUUAGUAUUUCAAAAUAAGUUUUCGGGUAGGAAACAUUUUAACUAAUAGUUGUGGUUUUAUGAUUAAGACUUUGAAUGUGAAAAUAUUGGUGAAUGGUGUAUGAAUGUAUGAUUGUUUAUAUAUUCAGUUGUGAUGGUUGUGUUAUGUUAUGUAUCUUGUAUUUGUGCGACGCUGUGCGAAUACAUGGAUGACUCUGUCCGUGUGAACAGU